UACGAAGGGGGCUAGCGUUGUUCGGAUUUACUGGGCGUAAAGCGCACGUAGGCGGAUCGUUAAGUCGGGGGUGAAAUCCUGGAGCUCAACUCCAGAACUGCCUUCGAUACUGGCGAUCUUGAGUCCGGAAGAGGUGAGUGGAACUCCUAGUGUAGAGGUGGAAUUCGUAGAUAUUAGGAAGAACACCGGUGGCGAAGGCGGCUCACUGGCCCGUAACUGACGCUCAUGCACGACAGCGUGGGGAUCAAACAGG
rnacentral:rRNA from 1 species